rnacentral:rRNA from 1 species
UGAUACUAAGCCAUGCGAGUCAUUGCAGUAAUGCAAGGCAGACGGCUCAGUAACGCGUAGUCAACCUACCCUAUGGACGGGAAUAACCCCGGGAAACUGAGUAUAAUGCCCGAUAGAACACUAUUCCUGGAAUGGUUUGUGUUCCAAAUGAUUUAUCGCCGUAGGAUGGGACUGCGGCCUAUCAGUUUGUUGGUGAGGUAAUGGCCCACCAAGACUAUUACAGGUACGGGCUCUGAGAGGAGUAGCCCGGAGAUGGGUACUGAGACACGGACCCAGGCCCUAUGGGGCGCAGCAGGCGAGAAAACUUUGCAAUGUGCGAAAGCACGACAAGGUUAAUCCGAGUGGUUUGUGCUAAACGAACCUUUUGACAGUCCUAGAAACACUGUUGAAUAAGGGGUGGGCAAGUUCUGGUGUCAGCCGCCGCGGUAAAACCAGCACCUCAAGUGGUCAGGAUGAUUAUUGGGCCUAAAGCAUCCGUAGCCGGCUCUGUAAGUUUUCGGUUAAAUCUGUACGCUCAACGUACAGGCUGCCGGGAAUACUGCAGAGCUAGGGAGUGGGAGAGGUAGACGGUACUCGGUAGGAAGGGGUAAAAUCCUUUGAUCUAUUGAUGACCACCUGUGGCGAAGGCGGUCUACCAGAACACGUCCGACGGUGAGGGAUGAAAGCUGGGGGAGCAAACCGGAUUAGAUACCCGGGUAGUCCCAGCUGUAAACUAUGCAAACUCAGUGAUGCAUUGGCUUGUGGCCAAUGCAGUGCUGCAGGGAAGCCGUUAAGUUUGCCGCCUGGGAAGUACGUACGCAAGUAUGAAACUUAAAGGAAUUGGCGGGGGAGCACCACAAGGGGUGAAGCCUGCGGUUCAAUUGG